CAGUAGCCGCGGUAAUACGAAGGGUGCAAGCGUUACUCGGAAUUACUGGGCGUAAAGCGUGCGUAGGUGGUGGUUUAAGUCCGUUGUGAAAGCCCUGGGCUCAACCUGGGAAUUGCAGUGGAUACUGGGUCACUAGAGUGUGGUAGAGGAUAGUGGAAUUUCCGGUGUAGCAGUGAAAUGCGUAGAGAUCGGAAGGAACAUCUGUGGCGAAGGCGACUAUCUGGGCCAACACUGACACUGAGGCACGAAAGCGUGGGGAGCAAACAGGAUUAGAUACCCGAGUAGUCCCUGUCUCUUAUCA
rnacentral:rRNA from 1 species